AGCACGUUAUCGUGCAGUACGCUGUUACUGGUAUUACUGUAUAUAUUUAGUCUUGCUCAUCGCAGAUAAAACCGCAGUUUGAAGGCAAUACCGUGCCACCCUGAAGGGGGCGCACGUGAGCCCAACAGGUGCUCGUUACUGGCUGAUCUUAUCGGCGAUGAUUUCCAUUGAGACGGAGAGACUUUUAAAACUAAUACAAAUAAAGAACAACCAAUGAAUCCUCGACCUAACAAUCACUUCCAGUCCUCAGACGACAACCUCAACAUCACUUCCGGUUUGUGGCCCUUAAGAUCCCGCCUCUUCCUGAUGUCACUUCCGGUUCCAGAAUGCUGUUUGCUCAUGACGUCAUUUCCCUUCUGCCGAUCUUAUAUAUUUGACCUCCAUUUUUGUGAUUCUCUGUUCUGUUUUGGACUCCAGUCUGUAAAGACCUCAUUGCAUUUCCUGUACUCUGUAGUAUUAUGGGGU